GGGGUUGUGGCUCAGUGGUAGAGUGCUCGCCUAGCAUGUGCGAGGCCCUGGGUUCCAUCCUCAGCACCACA
rnacentral:tRNA from 1 species